GAGUGUUGCCCGCUCCAAUAUGGCGGCGACGUUGACGUGCGGUCGAGUGGGCAAUGAGGCGUCUAUGUAUGUAUAUGUCUAUGAGUUGGACACCCUAUGGUUGGACAACCUCCUAGAGUCGGUUUGCGAUGAAUAAAAACAAUUGUUGGUUUAUUUUAAUUUUUGUGAUAUAGAUUUCUGAUAGAAGCUCUCGGAGACCUGGACUCCAGUCUGAAGAAACUCAACUCCAGGUAAGGUUGGAAAAAAGGUUAAGGUUUGGGUCAAAUGUUUUUCCUUCAUGCAACUCAGAGGUCCUUCCAAAGCUCUUUGAGAAAUGGAAGAUCACCCGGUUGACUUUCAAGGUUGUUACAGAGCCAUAUAGUCUGAGUAUAGACAAUGGGGUCAUUAAGUUGGCAUAGGAAUAUGGAGUGUAAGUUAUUCCAAAGAUUUCUCACACUCUCUACAACAUUGACAGGUAAUUGCUAUUAUUUGUAAAUCAAAUUUUAUAUUUUAAAAGAAGACUUAUUGACGAGAACAACUGCAAGCCUCCCAUGACUUACGUUCACUUCUGUGGAGAAGGCCAUUGGUCCUCCUAAAAAACCUGUUCCAACCAAAGAGGACAUGAAAGGUAUCUUUUUGGACAUCAUGCGACGAGAAGAGAGACUGUAGCUGGGUUUUCUUUCCUCAGUAAUGCCUCUUUCCCUGGAAGAUGUGUCCACUUCAUUUUCUGUGGACCAUGAAGAGGAGUUUGGGAUUCCAACUCUUGAAGAUCUUGGACUGGAUACAUAAUCCUUAGGACCAGAUCUGUUCCCGGUGGGUGAACAAGCUCUGCACAGACAGGAUGGGCACAUGCAGAGAACGGUGUGGGUGUGCAAGCUUAAAACAAACACAAACAUUCCUCAACUCCAUGAGCCCCAGCACCACCGUCCUGAGCCCAUACAUCCGAUCCGGCUGCUCAUCUGGAUGCACCUUCUGGUGGUGCAGUGAUAUACAUACUUUCAGCUCAUUAAAAUUGGCAGCUUGGUUUUUGGACUGACAAGUCGAGAACUCUUGAGGAUGUAGAUAUUAGUGGGCCCGGUCCUGACUCUAACUUCUGCAUACAUGUGAUUUUAAUAAUUAAAAAUAAUGACAGUGAUCAAUUUAAUCCCAGUCACUCUUUUAUUCACCCAUUUAAAGACAAAUCAAACAGUUAUCUGGCCUGCUGAUUGCAGAAAUGAUUUAUGAACAUUAUUCUCACCUUUUCAGGUGAUUUGACAUCUUCUGCCCCCAGUAAACAUCACAUUUGACAAUCAAAUUUAAAAAACAAACCAAGAAAAAAAAAAAGGUAAGAAAAGAAAAUCUCUUUCAGCAAUUACAACAAAAGUAUAAAAAAAAUCUUCACGCUUUCCCCUCAGAUCAUGGGAUGGGGCCCGCAGACGUUCAGUGCUGUGUGUUCAGAAGAGGGGGUGCGAUUUUGAGUUUCUGGGUUUUACGUUCUUGAGAGGCCACGGUUGUCAAGGUCUUUGACCUGUGGAGGUAAAGCAGGAGAUCAUCAGUUGAAAUUCAGAUGGUUUAGAAGGACAAUAACGGUUAAAUAUACACAGGUGAGUUAAGAUGUACCUUGUAUAUCCUGACAAGCCAGUGCUCUGUAGUAUACGCUUCCUCCAGCACAUCCAGCUCAAAGUCCUUGUUGCCAAUCUCAGCAUUACGAACCCUGUCGUAACCGGGAGGUCGCUCUGGAAAAAAAAGAAAA